UACGGAGGAUGCAAGCGUUAUCCGGAAUGAUUGGGCGUAAAGCGUCCGCAGGUGGCAAUGUAAGUCUGCUGUCAAAGCGUCUGGCUCAACCAGAUAAAGGCAGUGGAAACUACAUAGCUAGAGUAAGGUAGGGGUAGAGGGAAUUCCAGGUGUAGCGGUGAAAUGCGUAGAUAUCUGGAGGAACACCGGUGGCGAAGGCGGCAUCCUGGACCGAGAUUGACGCUGAGGCGCGAAAGCUAGGGGAGCAAACGGG
rnacentral:rRNA from 1 species